UUNUGAACUGGGUGACUAGAGUGUGUCAGAGGGAGGUAGAAUUCCACGUGUAGCAGUGAAAUGCGUAGAGAUGUGGAGGAAUACCGAUGGCGAAGGCAGCNUCCUGGGAUAACACUGACGUUCAUGCCCGAAAGCGUGGGUAGCAAACAGGAUUAGAUACCCUGGUAGUCCACGCCCUAAACGAUGUCGAUUAGCUGUUGGGCAGCAUGACUGCUUAGUAGCGAAGCUAACGCGUGAAAUCGACCGCCUGGGGAGUACGGUCGCAAGAUUAAAACUCAAAGGAAUUGACGGGGACCCGCGCAAGCGGUGGAUGAUGUGGAUUAAUUCGAUGCAACGCGAAGAACCUUACCUGGUCUUGACAUGUACGGAAUCCUCCAGAGACGGAGGAGUGCCUUCGGGAGCCGUAACACAGGUGCUGCAUGGCUGUCGUCAGCUCGUGUCGUGAGAUGUUGGGUUAAGUCCCGCAACGAGCGCAACCCUUGUCAUUAGUUGCCAUCAUUAAGUUGGGCACUCUAAUGAGACUGCCGGUGACAAGCCGGAGGAAGGUGGGGAUGACGUCAAGUCCUCAUGGCCCUUAUGACCAGGGCUUCACACGUCAUACAAUGGUCGGUACAGAGGGUAGCCAAGCCGCGAGGCGGAGCCAAUCUCACAAAACCGAUCGUAGUCCGGAUUGCACUCUGCAACUCGAGUGCAUGAAGUCGGAAUCGCUAGUAAUCGCAGGUCAGCAUACUGCGGUGAAUACGUUCCCGGGUCUUGUACACAC
rnacentral:rRNA from 1 species